CAAGAUUGUUUUGGCUAUUUGGGGCCUUUUGCAAUUCCAUAUGAAUUUGAGAAUUAGCUUUUCCAAUUCUGCAAAAAGGCCACUGAAAUGUUGAGAGAGAUCACA